UGGCGGCGUGCCUAACACAUGCAAGUCGAACGAGGUAGCAAUACCUAGUGGCAGACGGGUGAGUAACGCGUGGUCAACCUACCGUUGAGUGGGGGAUAACUAGCCGAAAGGUUAGCUAAUACCGCAUACGUCUCCGAGGGGCAUCCCUUGGCGAUAAAAGGAGCAAUCCGCUCGAUGACGGGACCGCGUCCCAUUAGCUAGAUGGUGGGGUAACGGCCUACCAUGGCUCCGAUGGGUAGCUGGUUUGAGAGAGCGACCAGCCACACUGGGACUGAGAAACGGCCCAGACUCCUACGGGAGGCAGCAGUGAGGAAUUUUCCGCAAUGGGCGAAAGCCUGACGGAGCGACGCCGCGUGUGGGAAGAAGGCCUUCGGGUCGUAAACCACUGUCGAAGGGGAAGAUAAUGACGGUACCCUUGGAGGAAGCCCCGGCUAACUACGUGCCAGCAGCCGCGGUAAGACGUAGGGGGCAAGCGUUAUUCGGAAUCAUUGGGCGUAAAGCGCUCGUAGGCGGAUCGAACAGUCGGUGAAGAAAGAACUGGGCUCAACUCAGGGAACGGCACCGAUACUAUCGGUCUUGAGGCAAUCAGAGGAUGAUGGAAUUCCCGGUGUAGCGGUGAAAUGCGUA
rnacentral:rRNA from 1 species